rnacentral:ncRNA from 1 species
GAUAACUGGCUUGCGGCGGCCAAACGUUCACAAUGAUGUCGCUUUUUGAUCCUUCGAUGUCAGCUCUUCCUAUCAUUGUGAAACAGAAUUCACAAGAACUAGCUAAGACUAGGCAAAUUAGAGGAGGCAGAAAGU